GCCAUAUCAUAUUGAAAGACCAGUUCUCGUGCGACCACUUACGUUAAGCAACGUCGAGUCUGGUCAGUACUUAGAUGCGUGACCGCUUGGGAAUACCAGAUGCUAUA